rnacentral:ncRNA from 1 species
CCGAGAGAGUCCGCUGAGCGCGGCGCCGAAGGGGAAAGCAAAAGCUCUCAGGCAAAAGGAUCGGGU